UUUGGAGGAAAUAGUGGUCCGUUAAGUGAAAAAAGACAUCAUCCUGUGAGAUAAAAUUAGGUUUGUUUCCUUUUACUCCUAAAAUCUUUUUACCGUGGGUAAAAAGAAUCAAUAUGGGGGUAUAAAAGGAACCAAAUUUAAAUUUAACUCAAGGGUUCCUGAUGCCGUUUUCCCCAACAAGACGGAUCACUAUUUUCCCCAAG
rnacentral:pre_miRNA from 1 species